CAGUAGCCGCGGUAAAACAGAGGGUGCGAGCGUUAAUCGGAUUUACUGGGCGUAAAGCGUGCGUAGGCGGCUUUUUAAGUCGGAUGUGAAAUCCCCGAGCUUAACUUGGGAAUUGCAUUCGAUACUGGGAAGCUAGAGUAUGGGAGAGGAUGGUAGAAUUCCAGGUGUAGCGGUGAAAUGCGUAGAGAUCUGGAGGAAUACCGAUGGCGAAGGCAGCCAUCUGGCCUAAUACUGACGCUGAGGUACGAAAGCAUGGGGAGCAAACAGGAUUAGAUACCCGUGUAGUCCCUGUCUCUUAUAC
rnacentral:rRNA from 1 species